AUUGAACGCUGGCGGCAGGCCUAACACAUGCAAGUCGAACGGUAGCACAGAGAGCUUGCUCUCGGGUGACGAGUGGCGGACGGGUGAGUAACGUCUGGGAAACUGCCCGAUGGAGGGGGGUAACUACUGGAAACGGCAGCUAAUACCGCAUAACGUCGCAAGACCAAAGUGGGGGACCUUCGGGCCUCACACCAUCGGAUGUGCCCAGAUGGGAUUAGCUAGUAGGUGGGGUAAUGGCUCACCUAGGCGACGAUCCCUAGCUGGUCUGAGAGGAGAACCAGCCACGCUGGAACUGAGACACGGUCCAGACUCCUACGGGAGGCAGCAGUGGGGAAUAUUGCACAAUGGGCGCAAGCCUGAUGCAGCCAUGCCGCGUGUAUGAAGAAGGCCUUCGGGUUGUAAAGUACUUUCAGCGGGGAGGAAGGCGGUGAAGUUAAUAACUUCACCGAUUGACGUUACCCGCAGAAGAAGCACCGGCUAGCUCCGUGCCAGCCGCCGCCGUAA
rnacentral:rRNA from 1 species